rnacentral:lncRNA from 1 species
GGUCGCACUGCGGAAGAUCCACCGCCGAAAGUCGAGUGUUUCUACCUAUGUGCGCCAUAGGAAAAAAUAAAAAAAAUACCUACGUGCGACAUUGAACAACUUUCAUCGGAAUGAAUGGUGCUCCGCCUCAAAGGCUGUAUUCUCUAAUUAUAGGUCGAUGGUUCUGAAGCCAAAAAAGUUCAAGUCUCCCGCCGACUGAGCCUGCUACUCACGGUUUAGCUCUCGAACAAUUAGAAUAAAAGAUAAAAUAAGACUUUCACUCUUCAAAUGGAAGACAUGUUAAGAUUCCGACAGUGAAUCGAGUCAUGUCUCAGAACUUGUGACGGCUCUAAAACUCUUAUCCACGGUUUAACAGACGUUUAUUUCACAAUGUUAGCUUGUGUGAAAUGUAUUUUUGGGACCGCAGUGCAUCAUGGGACGGUGUAAUUACACGGUGUGGCCGCUAUGAAAACUGGCUCCAGGGCAUGGCGCUGUUCCCGGGAGCUUUUGGGAGUGGCGUCGCUCAGGUGUUUGUCCUCUGCAGGAUGCUGUAGUUUAGAGGUGUUUCCGCGCCGGACGCCAUGUUGUUCAAACGUUCCGGUGCCCUGCAUAGUAAACAACAUCAACAGCGACCUGCUUCAAGAAUCGGCGCUAAAACCACAUUCAGGUUACUGUCCAAUGUCCCACAAGGCGAUGAAGCUGCACUACCAGCGAUGAGGACUGUUAAAGUGCAGCCGAGGUCUCGAUCCUGAUCCUGGUGUCUGGUUCCUCCCACAGUCCAGGGAGCUGUAGAGACGGUACAGCAGGCGACGUUCGCUCAGAGGCAGCAGGUCACAGGACUCAACGUAAGUGAAGUUUUAUUUAUAUAGCAGCAUUGAAAACAGAAAGUGCUGCAGAGGAUACACAUACAGAAAACAACAUGCAUAUACAGAGUAAUAUAAAUGACAGCUCUGUUACAAGAAAAGGAAAGGAAAGAGGUUUGAUGUGACAGGCCUGGAAUUAAGACUGACCACUGACUGUCGGUGAAAAUCAGACAACCAAAUCAUACUUUAGCACUCCCC